rnacentral:lncRNA from 1 species
AAGAAGUAAAGAAAGUGAAGACCAAACCAUUGAUACUGAUCCAAUGUGUGGUUGCCUUCUCUUCCUUCGAUGAGUAUCUGCGGUGAGCAACUUGUGUUUGCUAAUAGAAGGAGUGCCCUUGAGAAUAACAGAUAUAGGUGGGGGCAUCGGAUCCCAGGAUUGGAGUAGGGGUUGGCGGACCGUAAUCUAUUGGCUGGCUGCUAUUACUCACAGUCAGAUUUUCAUUAUCAAUUAUUUCCUAGAUAAUGCAAGGAAGCAAAGGAAAUAAGAGGAAGCAGGAGUAAAAACUGAAAAUGAUUAGGAAUGAAGGAUGUUACCUCGUCAUUUCAAUCAUAUUCGGGGAAGAUUUUCUUGCAGUAAUAUGUAGUUGACUUGUUGGCUAGAUGAC